UACGUAGGGGGCAAGCGUUGUCCGGAUUUAUUGGGCGUAAAGAGCGUGUAGGCGGCCAGGUAGGUCCGUUGUGAAAACUCGAGGCUCAACCUCGAGACGUCGGCGGAAACCAUCUGGCUAGAGUCCGGAAGAGGAGAGUGGAAUUCCUGGUGUAGCGGUGAAAUGCGUAGAGAUGUGGAGGAACACCAGUGGCGAAGGCGACUCUUUGGCCUGUAACUGACGCUGAGGCGCGAAAGCGUGGGGAGCAAACAGG
rnacentral:rRNA from 1 species